UUAAGCGACUAAGCGUACACGGUGGAUGCCCUGGCAGUCAGAGGCGAUGAAGGACGUGCUAAUCUGCGAUAAGCGUCGGUAAGGUGAUAUGAACCGUUAUAACCGGCGAUUUCCGAAUGGGGAAACCCAGUGUGUUUCGACACACUAUCAUUACGUGAAUACAUAGCGUAAUGAAGCGAACCGGGGGAACUGAAACAUCUAAGUACCCCGAGGAAAAGAAAUCAACCGAGAUUCCCCCAGUAGCGGCGAGCGAACGGGGAGCAGCCCAGAGUCUGAAUCAGCUUGUGUGUUAGUGGAACGGUCUGGAAAGUCCGACGGUACAGGGUGAUAGUCCCGUACACCAAAAUGCACAGGUUGUGAACUCGAAGAGUAGGGCGGGACACGUGGUAUCCUGUCUGAAUAUGGGGGGACCAUCCUCCAAGGCUAAAUACUCCUGACUGACCGAUAGUGAACCAGUACCGUGAGGGAAAGGCGAAAAGAACCCCGGCGAGGGGAGUGAAAAAGAACCUGAAACCGUGUACGUACAAGCAGUGGGAGCCUCUUUAUGGGGUGACUGCGUACCUUUUGUAUAAUGGGUCAGCGACUUAUAUUCUGUAGCAAGGUUAACCGUAUAGGGGAGCCGAAGGGAAACCGAGUCUUAACUGGGCGUUAAGUUGCAGGGUAUAGACCCGAAACCCGGUGAUCUAGCCAUGGGCAGGUUGAAGGUUGGGUAACACUAACUGGAGGACCGAACCGACUAAUGUUGAAAAAUUAGCGGAUGACUUGUGGCUGGGGGUGAAAGGCCAAUCAAACCGGGAGAUAGCUGGUUCUCCCCGAAAGCUAUUUAGGUAGCGCCUCGUGAACUCAUCUUCGGGGGUAGAGCACUGUUUCGGCUAGGGGGUCAUCCCGACUUACCAACCCGAUGCAAACUGCGAAUACCGAAGAAUGUUAUCACGGGAGACACACGGCGGGUGCUAACGUCCGUCGUGAAGAGGGAAACAACCCAGACCGCCAGCUAAGGUCCCAAAGUCAUGGUUAAGUGGGAAACGAUGUGGGAAGGCACAGACAGCCAGGAUGUUGGCUUAGAAGCAGCCAUCAUUUAAAGAAAGCGUAAUAGCUCACUGGUCGAGUCGGCCUGCGCGGAAGAUGUAACGGGGCUAAACCAUGCACCGAAGCUGCGGCAGCGACACUAUGUGUUGUUGGGUAGGGGAGCGUUCUGUAAGCCGUUGAAGGUGGCCUGUGAGGGUUGCUGGAGGUAUCAGAAGUGCGAAUGCUGACAUAAGUAACGAUAAUGCGGGUGAAAAACCCGCACGCCGGAAGACCAAGGGUUCCUGUCCAACGUUAAUCGGGGCAGGGUGAGUCGACCCCUAAGGCGAGGCCGAAAGGCGUAGUCGAUGGGAAACAGGUUAAUAUUCCUGUACUUGGUGUUACUGCGAAGGGGGGACGGAGAAGGCUAUGUUAGCCGGGCGACGGUUGUCCCGGUUUAAGCAUGUAGGCGGAGGUUCCAGGUAAAUCCGGUACCUUUUAACGCUGAGGUGUGAUGACGAGGCACUACGGUGCUGAAGUAACAAAUGCCCUGCUUCCAGGAAAAGCCUCUAAGCAUCAGGUAACACGAAAUCGUACCCCAAACCGACACAGGUGGUCAGGUAGAGAAUACCAAGGCGCUUGAGAGAACUCGGGUGAAGGAACUAGGCAAAAUGGUGCCGUAACUUCGGGAGAAGGCACGCUGAUAUGUAGGUGAAGUGAUUUACUCAUGGAGCUGAAAUCAGUCGAAGAUACCAGCUGGCUGCAACUGUUUAUUAAAAACACAGCACUGUGCAAACACGAAAGUGGACGUAUACGGUGUGACGCCUGCCCGGUGCCGGAAGGUUAAUUGAUGGGGUUAUCCGUAAGGAGAAGCUCUUGAUCGAAGCCCCGGUAAACGGCGGCCGUAACUAUAACGGUCCUAAGGUAGCGAAAUUCCUUGUCGGGUAAGUUCCGACCUGCACGAAUGGCGUAAUGAUGGCCAGGCUGUCUCCACCCGAGACUCAGUGAAAUUGAACUCGCUGUGAAGAUGCAGUGUACCCGCGGCAAGACGGAAAGACCCCGUGAACCUUUACUAUAGCUUGACACUGAACACUGGUCCUUGAUGUGUAGGAUAGGUGGGAGGCUUUGAAGUGUGGACGCCAGUCUGCAUGGAGCCAUCCUUGAAAUACCACCCUUUAAUGGCUGGUGUUCUAACGUGGACCCGUAAUCCGGGUUGCGGACAGUGUCUGGUGGGUAGUUUGACUGGGGCGGUCUCCUCCUAAAGAGUAACGGAGGAGCACGAAGGUUAGCUAAUCCUGGUCGGACAUCAGGAGGUUAGUGCAAAGGCAUAAGCUAGCUUGACUGCGAGAGUGACGGCUCGAGCAGGUGCGAAAGCAGGUCUUAGUGAUCCGGUGGUUCUGAAUGGAAGGGCCAUCGCUCAACGGAUAAAAGGUACUCCGGGGAUAACAGGCUGAUACCGCCCAAGAGUUCAUAUCGACGGCGGUGUUUGGCACCUCGAUGUCGGCUCAUCACAUCCUGGGGCUGAAGUAGGUCCCAAGGGUAUGGCUGUUCGCCAUUUAAAGUGGUACGCGAGCUGGGUUUAGAACGUCGUGAGACAGUUCGGUCCCUAUCUGCCGUGGGCGCUGGAGAAUUGAGGGGGGCUGCUCCUAGUACGAGAGGACCGGAGUGGACGCAUCACUGGUGUUCGGGUUGUCAUGCCAAUGGCAUUGCCCGGUAGCUAAAUGCGGAAGAGAUAAGUGCUGAAAGCAUCUAAGCACGAAACUUGCCCCGAGAUGAGUUCUCCCUGAGACUAUAAGUCUCCUGAAGGAACGUUAAAGACGAUGACGUUGAUAGGUCGGGUGUGUAAGUGUAGCGAUACAUUGAGCUAACCGAUACUAAUGAACCGUGAGGCUUAACCUU
rnacentral:rRNA from 2 species